CAAACUGGUAUAAGUUCAAUGGGCUGACACCAACUUGGCAUGCCUUCCUCGUUAUUAAAAACAUUGAUUGUAGGACUAUCUAACAAUAACGCAGAGAAUCCGGGAGUACAUGUUGCUACUUGAACAUUAUAUAGAGUAGAAUUCAUCAGUUGGUUGCUAAGACCCGUUAUCCGACUUGAAUUUUGUGCUGUAUACGCCCAUGCAUCAAAAGAAAUUUCACUGGUAACAGUAUUCACAAAAGGGAUCAUUGCAUUUUCAAUACUUUGAGGAUUGCAUGUUUUCAAAUACGUUGUAAAUGUCAAGGGAGUAAAGUUGGCCGUGUCGUUUUCAGCUA